ACCAUGACAUAGGCGUUGUUAUGUCCAAAGCCUGAACAUACGUCAUAGCCCUCAAAAGAGAAGCAAAGCAGAGAUGCCUGCAUUUUAUAAUACAAAUGUUCCAGCAAAAAGGGAGCUGGGAGAGAAAGAGAGAACAUCAAUUCACUGGAGUCGGAAUCAGAACACAAAGGCAACUUCCAGAAAAAAGCACUGGAGGGCUGGCCAGAAAUCAGGACUGGAGAGAAUUGGGAAGAAAGACCAAGGGAAUCUGCAGAACACCAGUGAAGGUGUAGAAAGGGCUACUAGCCAAAACCAUGAGUUCCCCAAAAUACCAGAGGCUGCAAGAAGAUGUGCCUAUCUCCCAAAGUCCACCCCAUUACUCGGAAAUUCAGCUUGAUCUUCCAAAAACUCCUCCUGAAUCAGCUCAUUGUGCAGACUGUGAGAAAUCUCCUAUUGUGCCAGCCAAGGACCGACCUGUAGAUGACCCAGAUAGGACAGCAUCCAAACACAUUCCGGUCCUUCAGAAACCACAGACGGUUGUCUUUGUGCCUGCUGAACUAGUUGAAGAACCUGAUUAUAUUGGCUUCUCUAUCGUUGCUGCACUGUGCUGUUUCUUGCCGCUGGGCGUAGCUGCCUUUGUUUUCUCUAAACUGACUCAAAAAGCCAAUCGUGAGGGAAAUCUUACAGCUGCUCGGAGAUAUUCAAGGACGGCUGUCAUACUGGCACUCCUAUCACUUGUAAUCGGUCUUCCGCUCCUCAUUUUUUAUUUCAUCUUUAUCACAAAAUCACAUUAGACCAAGUCAUUAUGAAAUGUUCACAUCUAUAUAGCCCACUGAGGAAGCCGAUGUCAAUGCUGCUAACAUUGGAUGUUCUUGCUUUGACAACAGAUGGAAAUGUAGCCAUUUUUCCUCUAUCACUUUUAGAGUUCGUUGAUGC